rnacentral:snRNA from 1 species
GGAUGUGAGGGCGAUCUGGCUGCGACAUCUGUCACCCCAUUGAUCGCCAGGGUUGAUUCAGCUGAUCUGGCUGGCUAGGCGGGUGUCCCCUUCCUCCCUCACCGCUCCAUCUGCGUCCCUCCCGAAGCUGCGCGCUCGGUCGAAGAGGACGACCAUCCCCGAUAGAGGAGGACCGUUCUUCGGUCAAGGGUAUACGAGUAGCUGCGCUCCCCUGCUAGAACCUCCAAACAAGCUCUCAAGAAUAGGACUUAAAGAUGGUGAGCAUUUUAAAAAAUGAAUGUUCUUGAGGCUGCUAAGCUGUUGAUAAUU